UCUCUCUGUAUAACACUCUCUGGGUCUCUCUCUCUCUCUGUAUAACACACUCUGGGUCUCUCUCUCUGUAUAACACUCUCUGGGUCUCUCUCUCUCUGUAUAACACACUCUGGGUCUCUCUCUCUGUAUAACACUCUCUGGGUCUCUCUCUCUCUCUGUAUAACACACUCUGGCUCUCUCUCUGUAUAACACUCUCUGGGUCUCUCUCUGUAUAACACACUCUGGCUCUCUCUCUGUAUAACACACUCUGGGUCUCUCUCUCUCUCUGUAUAACACUCUCUGGGUCUCUCUCUCUCUGUAUAACACACUCUGGGUCUCUCUCUCUCUCUCUCUCUCUGUAUAACACACUCUGGGUCUCUGGGUCUCUCUCUCUCUCUCUCUCUGUAUAACACUCUCUGGGUCUCUCUCUCUCUGUAUAACACACACACUGGGUCUCUCUCUGUAUAACACUCUCAGCAAUUGGAUCAUUUCCUGGUUACUC